rnacentral:rRNA from 1 species
CCUACGGGUGGCUGCAGUGGGGAAUAUUGCACAAUGGGGGAAACCCUGAUGCAGCGAAGCCGCGUGAGUGAAGAAGUAUUUCGGUGCAUAAAGCUCUAUCAGCAGGGAAGAAAAACCGGCCUUAGGGCCGCCAGACGGUACCUUACUAAAAAGCCCCGGCUAACUACGUGCCAGCAGCCGCGGUAAUACGUAGGGGGCAAGCGUUAUCCGGAUUUACUGGGGGUAAAGGGGGCGUAGACGGCGGCGCAAGUCUGGAGUGAAAUGCCGGGGCCCAACCCCGGAACUGCUUUGGAAACUGGGCAGCUUGAGUGCAGGAGAGGUAAGCGGAAUUCCUGGUGUAGCGGUGAAAUGCGUAGAUAUUAGGAGGAACACCAGUGGCGAAGGCGGCUUACUGGACUGUAACUGACGUUGAGGCUCGAAAGCGUGGGGAGCAAACAGGAUUAGAUACCCCGGUAGUC